GCAUCAGGCCCGAAGUUCGGCUUUGCCGUCGCUGUGACCGUUUGCGUUGGCGCUCACCAACCGCACGCUGGCGAUGGGGGGAAAAAGGUGUUAAAAGGAUAACCGGACAAACUGUUCUACAGCUUCAGGAGAGGCACAAGCCCCACACGGUCUCAGUCUUCAGAGGACUACAGGUCCCAUGAUCCCCAAGAAGGAUUGAACCUGAGCUUUGACAGCGAUGAACUUUGGGAAAAGGAGGAGCUAUUCAGCCCUCUUCAGACCAUACUGGCUUCCUAGCAAGUUUUUUAGGAGUUUGGCAGAAGGUCCUCAGAACAGCUAGAGGCACUGAGUACACAAGAGGACAGGAUUUACACCUUUCCAUUUGGCUGACUUCACCUAAUUUGGCAGAAGAAAAAUCGUUGGCAUUCCUGGUUUUAAGAAAUCUGCAAACUAAGAGAGAUUUGCUGAACCGUUGCCUCAUGUCUAGGAGCUGAUAAGCUGUGACAGCGUUUCGACGGUGAAAUGGCUAAAAUAGCACAAGCGUUGCUCCUGUUAUUUCUAAAACACCUCGGGACUAUCCUAGAAUUUACUUGCUUUUAUUUUCCUGAACAAUCCAGUACUAGAGACAAGAUUUGCAGUUAAGAUUCAUCCAGCACGUAUUUCAUGAAUACAUACAUUUGUUAAAUUCUUGUUCUGCUAAGAUGCGUACUUGAUUUCAAAAAUAAAAUAAAAUUGGAAAUCUUUGAGGAGUAGAAUUCUUGAAGGUCUUUAGCCCAGGUGAAGCCAAACCCUUGCAAGUUAAUUAAGAGCCUUCUUACAGACAGUCAGAUUGAUGGCAAGGUCACAAAAGGCCACCGGCCUUUUUGGGGGGUACUCUGGGUGCCCCAGAUUAUAUUCUAGUAAAUGAAAGGGAAAAACAAAAAAACGGAAAUUCUGCUCAGUACCUGUGUAUACCUGGAAAGUAUGCGGUGCCUGGAUCUGCCAUUGGACAUGCUCAAAAAUGCUCAGGUCUGAGACCUGGCUGCCAGGCUUGUAGGUCAGCCUAAUCUUGGUCAGACCCUCUAGAGAGCAGAGCUGGUGGCAGAUAAACUGGGGGACUGGCAUACCUUGCCCUCUCCCCACAGAUGGCUGCCGCUGGUGCGUGCGUUUGUACGGCGCUGUGAGAAGGCGAAGGCUGCCCUUCCUCUGCUAACCUGCUGCUGAGAGACAGGGGUGCUGGACACCCCUCCCCAGGGCGUGCCAGCCCCCCUUGCACCCCACCGGGGCGACUCAAGGCUCCGGGGAGAGAAGGGUGCCAGGAAAGGAAGCCGUGCUGCCCGCCAGCAAGUCAGCACCACAGGUGCUGCUGUCCCCGUACUCCUCCGACAGCCCUCCCGGGCGGGGACUGGCCCUGCUGCUGCACCCGUUGAACUUGGAGGAAAUAUUUAUUUGCUCAGUGACUCAGGGAACAGAGGCUGGAGCCUUAGCAAUAAACACUCUUUCUUCACAGGCCAACGAAUGGGAAGUGUUUCUAAUAUAUGUGUAAACAUACCGUUGUCCUGCAUAUUGGAGAUGUCAGAAAUAUCCCUUACAAGGGCCUCUAAAGUAAAAUUGAAGGAGACGUUAAAUAAUAUUGAUCAAAAAAUGAAACCGUAUUACUUUGAAAAUGGCAGAGUAUUAUGAUUGUUUUGUAUUUUCACCUCCUUUUUGUUUUUUAUACUACAGCCCUGAAACCAAUAGGAAGUAACGAAGCAUAUAACUAAAUCCAUAUUAUCAGCUGAAAAAUGUUUCUGAUCAUAGCAUGUGCCUAUCCCUAGUUGUUACAGCUCCUCAAUUAGAAGAAAGAGAAAAAUGGGAAAGAGAGAUUAUAGUUGAGCAAUUUGCAGGACUUUUUUUAUUCCUCCACUCCUAGUUAGACUUGGCAGGAUCCCACUGAACUGAGAAGAAGAAAAUUAUAUUCCAGAAAUAAUUCUUAUUGCCUGUCUUAAAUAUACUACUAGUAUUCUCUCGCCAUACUGAAACA